GGGUAACCUUUGCAUACAUCAUAUGGACAUGUUAAAAUGAUUAUCCAAUACUUUCUAUCAUCCACAGAUUCAAAUAAAUAAUUGAGCAUUUUAUCUUGAAUAUUAACACAUAAUAAUGGAAAGCUCUCUUAGGCCCGGUUCAGUAGCUUCUUGCCAUUUUGGGACCUAGGAGUCUUAGUCUCAGGCUGAUUUUCACUCUUCAAAAGGUGAUUCUUGAUGAAGCUUGGCAG
rnacentral:misc_RNA from 1 species